rnacentral:rRNA from 1 species
CCUACGGGUGGCUGCAGUGGGGAAUAUUGCGCAAUGGGCGAAAGCCUGACGCAGCGACGCCGCGUGAGGGAUGAAGGUCUUCGGAUCGUAAACCUCUGUCAGCAGGGAAGAACGGUCACUGUGCUAAUCAGCAGUGAAUUGACGGUACCUGCAAAGGAAGCACCGGCUAACUCCGUGCCAGCAGCCGCGGUAAUACGGAGGGUGCGAGCGUUAAUCGGAAUUACUGGGCGUAAAGCGCUCGUAGGCGGUAUGUCAAGUCUAGGGUGAAAUCCCCGCGCUCAACGUGGGAACUGCGUUUGAAACUGGCAAACUGGAGUGUGUGAGAGGAUAGUGGAAUUCCAGGUGUAGGGGUGAAAUGCGUAGAUAUCUGGAGGAACAUCAGUGGCGAAGGCGACUAACUGGCACAUAACUGACGCUGAGGAGCGAAAGCGUGGGUAGCAAACAGGAUUAGAUACCCGGGUAGUC